GCCCUUGAAAAAAUCAAAGGUGUAACCUGCCCAAUGAUUUUUAAAAAUUAAUAAUAAAAAUAUUAAAAUAAAAUUUAAAGGACGCAGUAACCUUGACUGUGAUAAUGUAGCAUAAUCACUCGCCAUUUAAUUGAUGGAUAGUAUGAAUGGUUAAACGAAUAUUACACUGUCUUAUUAAGAAAAUUUAUAAAAUUAAAAUAAUAGUUAAGAUACUAUUUAAGAUUGUAAGACGAAAAGACCCUAUAGAGCUUAACUAUAAUCUUUAUUAACAAAAUAAAAUAUAAAAUUUUAUUCACCAUAAAGAUUGGUAGUUUAGUUGGGGCGACUAUCUUCUAUAAUCAACGAAGACAAGCAAUAUUAAUAAGAUAAUUUACUGUAUAAAAAAUAACUUUAACAGUUAUUAAAAUAGGCUAUAAUGACCCGUUAAUAUUUAAUAAUAGAUUUAACGAUUAAUAAAUAAAAGCUACCUUAGGGAUAACAGGAUAAUUUUAACUUAGAGAUCAUAUCAAAGUUAAAGUUUGUCACCUCUAUGUUGAAUUAAGAUAACCUAACAAUGCAGCAGUUGUUGAAGGUAGGUCUGUUCGACCUUUAAAAUCUU
rnacentral:rRNA from 1 species